GCUAUAUGAGUCUCAACAUCAUCAGAGCCCCAAAACAGUGAACCGAUCUUUCUACUUCAUAUGUGUUUCAUCCCUUAACAGUAAACCGAUCCUUCUCAAUAUUUGCCCCGAAAACGCUUUUGGAUCUCUCUCAGAGCGAAGAGUGCUGCUUUGGUUUGUUUGUUGAUCCACAGUUAUUAGCGCAGAGAGGAGCUGUUGCUUGCGAUUUGCGAAUUUGGAUUUGGAUCAAGGAAUUUAUGCACUUGCAACUGUCUUGAUUGAAUCAGAUGAGAGAGUUGUAAUGAAUCAAACCACAUAUUACUACACCAGCAAGCAAUGUCCUUAUUCAUUGCUUCAUAAAUAUGUUCGGUACCAAGUUUUGGCAAGUAGCUCAGCUGCAUCCUAAACACGUAUUUUUCUGACACAGAUAUGGCAUGGAGGCCAUCUACUUUGAUGAAGGUGUAAGGAACUCAAGACAACACUAACUGGAAACAAGAGCAUUGGAUGUGACCAUUUGUGAGGACUUGAUAGCAGUAAAUAGAACAAAGAACCAGCUAAAGAUGCGGAGUCUGAACUGCUAUUGUCGACAAGUUUUUUGCGAAGAAAAAAAAAAACAAAGAACCAGCUAAAGAUAAGGAGUCUGAACUGCUAUUGUCGACAAGUUUUUUGCGAAG